CAUUCAAGUGGCAAAUGUCUUUGCAAAGACGACAAGCCUGUCGUCUACUGGCCAGCAUUGAACAGCUUCAUUCUGCCCUCCAUUCCCGACAUGGCAUCCACGUUCUUGCGCCAGUCUGUCACUUCCUCUUUCUGUAAGUCUUGAGGUUGGCCUUGAAGUCCACAGACUCUUUGACUUUGGAGCCCAGCAGCGCUCCCAACAUAGCGUCUGCAGACACCCUCACCCUCUUCAGCUCUUUACACAGUUCCUGCAAAGAAAGAAGAUGUUAGCAGCGGGUUGAGUCAAGAUGUGGACGUUGUCGUCUUGGUACCUGGAGUUGUUGGACUGACAGGUCUGAGGUCUUUGGCUGAGGGAAACAUUCAGCGAGGAAUCUUUCCUUCUCUGCUCUUUUCUCUUGGCUCUCAGACAAAAGCAUCGAGGUGGCCCUUCUCAGCAAGAUGGACUAUAAAGUAAGAAGGCAUCCUGGUGACGACUCUGCAGUCACGUGACGUUUUGGGGAAAAUGAUCCUCACAUGUUCUCAUAUCUGCAGGACUCACCUUCAAGUGCAGUCGGCGGGUGGCUGAAU